CAUAUAUAUGUGGGCGUAAUGUGUUCAUGCUAACAUGGUUUCUGUCUCUGAUCUGCUAGCUCCACCAGAAACUGAGAGGAGACACUAGACGUACUGCCGAGCACUUCAGUGAAAAGUUCUAUAUGACAAACAACCAUUAAACUAUUCUCUGUCCGUAUCAAGACGGUUGUUUUAUCGUUAUUUAGUCUUCUGCACUAUUGGUGAUUACAACGAUAUUGGUUCCUUCAUUUCUUAGACUCAAGGGACCUUCCAAGGUGCUGCAGUUGCAACCAUGACUAUAUAGCACUGAUGAACUUUCAAUUCAGUUAUGAUUUUGGUUUAGCACCAACCUGAUGCAUUUUCAAUAGAUGGCAUUUGACUCUAAUGCAGGCUAGCUCCUUGAUAGUUGGUAUGGACCGAAACUACUCAUAUCUUGUUAUUCUUCCUCCACAGAAAUUAUUAUUGUUCUGCUGGUAAUUGGGCAAGCUUGCACCUCACGGUGUGGCUCUGAAAUGUCUUGUUCAGUCGCUGUUGUUUUGCAUUAUACGUUCACUAACUGAGCCGAAGAGGAUGAAGGAGAGAAGUUACUGUUACUGUAUGGUUCUUUCUUAUUCAUUGAUGUGAUGAAUGUGUGGUGACUGCAUUGCCUGUCUUAGUCAGAAAGUUAGGCAUAUGGCUGAUCCUGAAUUCAUUAGAUAUAAAGGUUUGCGAGUCGUGCUUAUUUUUAUGGCAUGCUGUCUGCCUUAAUGCUUGCGUUGAAUUUCCGUCUGAUUUGAUAACUUAUCCAAUGGCGUUCAAGGUUGUUUUGGUGUGCACUGAAGCCCCUCUGUUCCUGCCACAAAUAAUGAAACUUUUUCAUGUAUUUAUUCAAAAUAGGAAACAGUUGAUGUUACUAGGUUCACCAUGCAUGUCUUUCCACAAUGGAUAUGAUCCAUGGAUGUAUAAACUGUUGAUAUUAUCUUCUCACAGUAGAACAUUGCACGAAGUGAUUGAGUUUCUAAAAGACGUUAAUGAAAUCCAGUAAUUGUGGAUGA